rnacentral:lncRNA from 1 species
ACCGGUGAACUACACUUGCUUCUGGAUAGAUGUGUGGGACAGAGGGCUCAUGGUACCUGCUGCCCACCCUUCCUCCGCUUUGAUAACCGUGUGAACGGAGAGUGGGCAGAGCCCGUCUGGGUUAGUAAAUGAAAGAGAAGAACCAACCCCAAGAAAUGGUUAGCAGAGGAGUUAAAUAGGGGGAACCACAGACCUAUAAGAGGGGGA